GCCUUUAGAGCCCUCCUUCAAAGGAUUCAAACUCAUUGUACAACAAUGGCGGCUAAACUUAAGGAACUAGAAUGGAUAAAAAACCAGGCAGUUGCUCAUGGAUGUAGCACCAAGACAAUUUAUAAAUUAUGGAACAUGAUCUCAAACAAGUACACACAGAACGUACAGAUUACACCAGAGAAUGACAGAAGAAAAAGUGAAGAAGAGAAAAAACGCUUUACUAUCAAUAUAAAUCCAAUUAUGCUCAAAUAUAAGAGAAAGUUAGAAAAGGCUUCAGGAGUAAAAGUACCGGUAGUUUUUAAUAGAAG
rnacentral:lncRNA from 1 species